rnacentral:rRNA from 1 species
GUGAGGAAUAUUGGGCAAUGGGCGCAAGCCUGACCCAGCCAUGCCGCGUGAAGGAUGACGGCCCUAUGGGUUGUAAACUUCUUUUGUACGGGAAAAAACCACCGGUCGUGACCGGUGCUGAUGGUACCGUAAGAAUAAGCAUCGGCUAACUCCGUGCCAGCAGCCGCGGUAAUACGGAGGAUGCAAGCGUUAUCCGGAUUCAUUGGGUUUAAAGGGUGCGCAGGCGGAAUAAUAAGUCAGUGGUGAAAUCCUACGGCUCAACUGUAGAACUGCCAUUGAUACUGAUAUUCUUGAGUACACUUGAAGUGGGCGGAAUGUGUCAUGUAGCGGUGAAAUGCUUAGAUAUGACACAGAACACCGAUCGCGAAGGCAGCUCACUAAAUUGUAACUGACGCUCAUGCACGAAAGCGUGGGGAUCAAACAGGAUUAGAUACCCGAGUAGUCC